CCCUAUUGAACUAUGUUAGCUCAGUCAGUAGAGCAUGAGACUCUUAAUCUCAGGUUCGUGACUUCGAGCCCAGAGUUGGGGA